GGUGGUGCCUGGAGUUGUAGCCGGGGUGGUGGUGACUGUGGAGGUGGUGGUGCCUGGAGUCGUAGCCGGGGUGGUGGUGUCUGCGGCAGUGGUGGUACCUGGAGUGGUAGCAGGGGUGGUGGUGUCUGUAGCGGUGGUGGUGUCUG